rnacentral:rRNA from 1 species
GAUGAACGCUGGCGGCGUGCCUAAUACAUGCAAGUCGAGCGAACAGACGAGGAGCUUACUCCUCUGACGUUAGCGGCGGACGGGUGAGUCACACGUGGAUACCCUACCUAUAAGACUGGGAUCACUUCGGGAAACCGGAGCUAAUACCGGAUAACAUGUUGAACCGCAUGGGUCAACAGUGAGAGACGGUCUUGCUGUCACUUAUAGCUGGAUCCGCGUCGCAUUAGCUAGUUGUUAAGGUAACGGCCUACCAAGGCAACGAGGCGUAGACGACCUGCGAGGGGGAUAGGCCACACUGGAACGGAGACACGGACAAGACGCCUGCGGGAGGCAGCAGAAGGGAAUGUGCCGCAAUGGUCGAGAGCCUGACGGAGCAAGGCCGCGUGAGAGAAGAAGGUCUUGGGUUCGUAAAACUCUGUUAUUAGGGAAGAACAAAUGUGUAAGUAACUAUGCACGUCUUGACGGUACCUAAUCAGAAAGCCACGGCUAACUACGUG